rnacentral:rRNA from 1 species
UGAGGAAUAUUGGUCAAUGGGCGAGAGCCUGAACCAGCCAAGUAGCGUGCAGGAUGACGGCCCUAUGGGUUGUAAACUGCUUUUAUGUGGGGAUAAAGUGCGUGACGUGUCAUGCAUUGCAGGUACCACAUGAAUAAGGACCGGCUAAUUCCGUGCCAGCAGCCGCGGUAAUACGGAAGGUCCGGGCGUUAUCCGGAUUUAUUGGGUUUAAAGGGAGCGUAGGCCGUUUGGUAAGCGUGUUGUGAAAUGUAGGAGCUCAACUUCUAGAUUGCAGCGCGAACUGUCAGACUUGAGUGCGCACAACGUAGGCGGAAUUCAUGGUGUAGCGGUGAAAUGCUUAGAUAUCAUGAAGAACUCCGAUUGCGAAGGCAGCUUACGGGGGCGCAACUGACGCUGAAGCUCGAAGGUGCGGGUAUCGAACAGG